CAUUUUUGAAGGAUCUGUGCUGCGAAGCACGAUCUCUCACAUAUACACACUUUGUCUAGACAUAGAUUAUUUGCUUAGGUGGGCGUAUCCGUCCGCCUUUGGCUUUAACCCUAUAAAAAUUUAUAUGAAAAACAUAAUCACAUUAACGAUAAUAAAUAUCA
rnacentral:ncRNA from 2 species